rnacentral:rRNA from 1 species
GCGCGCGGCGGGACGAGGAGCUCUCGCCUCCUCUCCUGACGUUAGCGGCGGACGGGUGAGUAACACGUGGAUAACCUACCUAUAAGACUGGGAUAACUUCGGGAAACCGGAGCUAAUACCGGAUAAUAUAUUGAACCGCAUGGUUCAAUAGUGAAAGACGGUUUUGCUGUCACUUAUAGAUGGAUCCGCGCCGCAUUAGCUAGUUGGUAAGGUAACGGCUUACCAAGGCAACGAUGCGUAGCCGACCUGAGAGGGUGAUCGGCCACACUGGAACUGAGACACGGUCCAGACUCCUACGGGAGGCAGCAGUAGGGAAUCUUCCGCAAUGGGCGAAAGCCUGACGGAGCAACGCCGCGUGAGUGAUGAAGGUCUUCGGAUCGUAAAACUCUGUUAUUAGGGAAGAACAAAUGUGUAAGUAACUAUGCACGUCUUGACGGUACCUAAUCAGAAAGCCACGGCUAACUACGUGCCAGCAGCCGCGGUAAUACGUAGGUGGCAAGCGUUAUCCGGAAUUAUUGGGCGUAAAGCGCGCGUAGGCGGUUUUUUAAGUCUGAUGUGAAAGCCCACGGCUCAACCGUGGAGGGUCAUUGGAAACUGGAAAACUUGAGUGCAGAAGAGGAAAGUGGAAUUCCAUGUGUAGCGGUGAAAUGCGCAAGAUAUGGAGGAACACCAGUGGCGAAGCGACUUUCUGGUCUGUAACUGACGCUGAUGUGCGAAGCGUGGGGAU